CCAGACUCCUACGGGAGGCAGCAGUGGGGGAUAUUGCACAAUGGGGGCAACCCUGAUGCAGCGACGCCGCGUGAGCGAAGAAGUACCUCGGUAUGUAAAGCUCUAUCAGCAGGGAAGAAGAUGACGGUACCUGACCAAGAAGCUCCGGCUAAAUACGUGCCAGCAGCCGCGGUAAUACGUAUGGAGCAAGCGUUAUCCGGAUUUACUGGGUGUAAAGGGAGCGCAGGCGGCCUUGCAAGUUUGAUGUGAAAGGCCGGGGCCCAACCCCGGGACUGCAUUGGAAACUGUGCUGCUGGAGUGUCGGAGAGGCAAGUGGAAUUCCUAGUGUAGCGGUGAAAUGCGUAGAUAUUAGGAGGAACACCAGUGGCGAAGGCGGCCUGCUGGACGACAACUGACGGUGAGGCGCGAAAGCGUGGGGAGCAAACAGGAUUAGAUACCCUCGUACU
rnacentral:rRNA from 1 species